rnacentral:miRNA from 1 species
AACUAAGUUUGUCAUUGUACGACCUUUUGUGUGCAUGCACACUUCUUCAGAUACGGUAUCGGAAGAAGUGUGGUAUCUGAAGAAGUGUGCAUGCACACGAAAGCUCAUACCAAGAGCAAACUUAGUUGG